CUAAGCCUAUGAAACCGUUCUCUGCUCCUUGGGGCUGCUUUCUCCAAUGUCCAAUCUCUGGCAUUGGGAGCAGACGAUAGACCAUUUCAAUCCCUGACCCCUUCAGGCAUAGGAGGGAAGGUUUAUUGUAGAACCAGACCCACCUUCUUUGGUCCCAUUCUGGGACAUUUCCAAUUAUACAGGUAAUACUGCAGAUUUCCAUCGCUUACUCCA